GACGAACGCGGCGGCGUGCUUAACACAUGCAAGUCGAACGGAGCGAAUGAAAGCUUGCUUUUAUGAGCUUAGUGGCAAACGGGUGAGUAACACGUAGACAACCUGCCGAUAGGAUGGGGACAACAUUCCGAAAGGAAUGCUAAUACCGAAUGGCGUGUAGGGGAGGCAUCUCCCCUACAUGAAAGAUGGCCUCUAUAUAUAAGCUAUCACCUAUCGAUGGGUCUGCGUCUGAUUAGCUAGUAGGUAAGGUAACGGCUUACCUAGGCGACGAUCAGUAGCCGGUCUGAGAGGAUGAACGGCCACAUUGGGACUGAGACACGGCCCAGACUCCUACGGGAGGCAGCAGUGGGGAAUCUUCCGCAAUGGGCGCAAGCCUGACGGAGCAACGCCGCGUGAGUGAAGAAGGUCUUCGGAUCGUAAAGCUCUGUGAAGGGGACGAAACGUAUAUAGUGCG
rnacentral:rRNA from 1 species